GUUCUCUAGGGAGCAUGUGCACGCCUUGUCAUCUUUAUAUCUCCACCUGUGCACUUUUUGUAGACCUUUCAGGUCUAUGUUGCUUCAUUUACCCCAAUGUAUGUUAAUAGAAUGUUGUGCCUAUAUAAUCUAUACAACUUUCAGCAACGGAUCUCUUGGCUCUCGCAUCGAUGAAGAACGCAGCGAAAUGCGAUAAGUAAUGUGAAUUGCAGAAUUCAGUGAAUCAUCGAAUCUUUGAACGCACCUUGCGCUCCUUGGUAUUCCGAGGAGCAUGCCUGUUUGAGUGUCAUUAAUAUAUAUAUCAAACUUCUCUUGUUGAGUGGUUUGGAUGUGGGGGUUUGCUGGCCUCUUAAAGGGUUCAGCUCCUCUGAAAUGCAUUAGCAGAACAACCUGUUCAUUGGUGUGAUAACUAUCUACGCUAUUGAAUGUGAGGGGCAGUUCAGCUUUCUAACAGUCCUUGGACAAUUCAUCAUUAAUGUGACCUCAAAUCAGGUAGGACUACCCGCUGAACUUAAGCAUAUCAAUAAGCGGAGGAAAAGAAACUAACAAGGAUUCCCCUAGUAACUGCGAGUGAAGCGGGAAAAGCUC
rnacentral:rRNA from 1 species